GCAUCGGCGGCCGUGGCCCGGUUAGAGGGCCGCGAGUUCGAAUACCUCAUGAAAAAGCGCUCAGUAACCAUCGGCCGCAACUCCUCGCAGGGCUCGGUGGACGUAAGCAUGGGCCACUCCAGUUUCAUCUCCCGGCGGCACCUGGAGAUUUUCACUGCCCCGCCCGCUCAGGCCCCUGCCAACAGCGGUAGCGGCCCCGCCUCGACCCUCGCCGGCGACGGGACCGGGACUCAGUCGCCGCCUGUUGCCGCCAGCCCUUCGUCUGGCAGUGGCGAUUUCUACCUGCGUUGCCUGGGCAAGAACGGCGUCUUCGUGGACGGAGUGUUCCAGCGCCGGGGGGCGCCACCGUUGCAGCUGCCCCGCGUGUGUACAUUCAGGUUUCCCAGCACAAACAUCAAGAUAACAUUUACAGCUUUAUCCAAUGAAAAGAGAGAAAAACAGGAGUCCCCACAAUCCCCAGUGAAACCUGUACAACCCCAGAUUUCUCCCCUAACAAUCAACAUUCCAGACAACAUGGCUCACUUGAUCAGCCCUCUUCCCUCCCCCACAGGAACCAUCAGUGCUGCAAAUUCCUGUCCAUCUAGUCCUCGUGGUGCAGGUUCUUCAGGGUACAAAAUGGGUCGUGUAAUACCAUCUGACUUACAUCUUAUGGCUGACAAUUCACAGUCAGAAAAUGAUAAAGAAGCAUCUGGUGGAGAUAGCCCAAAGGAUGAUUCAAAGCCACCUUAUUCCUAUGCACAACUAAUUGUACAAGCAAUUACAAUGGCUCCUGAUAAGCAACUUACACUAAAUGGAAUUUAUACGCACAUAACUAAAAAUUAUCCUUACUACAGGACAGCAGACAAGGGCUGGCAGAAUUCAAUACGUCACAAUCUCUCUCUGAAUCGUUAUUUCAUCAAAGUACCACGUUCCCAGGAAGAACCAGGCAAGGGUUCCUUCUGGAGGAUAGAUCCUGCCUCUGAAAGCAAAUUAAUAGAACAGGCUUUUAGAAAAAGGCGGCCAAGGGGAGUACCUUGCUUUAGAACCCCACUGGGACCUCUUUCUUCUAGAAGUGCCCCAGCUUCUCCUAAUCAUUCUGGAGUAUUAUCUGCUCAUUCGAGUGGUGUGCAAACCCCAGAAAGCCUGUCAAGGGAAGGGUCACCUGUCCCAAUGGAGCCUGAGCCAAGCAGUAUCCAGCCAAAAUUAGCAGUAAUACAAGAAGCACGAUUUGCACAGAGUGCCCCAGGAUCUCCCUUAUCUAGCCAACCUGUUUUAAUUACUGUACAGAGGCAGCUGCCACAAACUAUGAAACCUGUCACAUACACUGUUGCAACUCCUGUGACAACAUCUACGUCCCAGCAGCCUGUAGUACAGACGGUUCAUGUUGUUCAUCAAAUCCCAGCUGUAUCUGUCACAAAUGUGACUGGAUUAGCACCAGCAAAUACUUAUACUGUAGCUGGGCAAGCAGUGGUUACACAAGCUGCAGUGAUGGCCCAGCCUAAAGGAGAACCUCAAGAGAAUGGAGAUCACAAUGAAAUGAAAGUUAAAGUGGAACCUGUACCCGCAGUUAGCCAUACAACUCUAGGAGCUGCCAGUCGCAUCAUUCAGACAUCUCAGACUACACCGUUACAAACGGUUACUCUAGUACAACAAGCACCUCUAGGUCAACACCAGCUACCAAUAAAAACUGUAACGCAAAAUGGAACACACAUAGUACCUAUCACCACAGCAAUGCAGAGUCAGGCUAACACUGCUGCUGCAAGCCCAUUACACAUGUUAGCAACUCAUGCAUCUGCAUCCGCCUCUCUUCCAACGAAACGUCAGAAUGGAGAUCAGUCUGAACAGCAAGACUUAAAACGGAUCAAAACAGAGGAUGGGGAGAACAUAGUCAUAGCUGUGAAUGUUGAAACCCCACCUGUGGCAGUGAGUGAACAAAGCAACAAGAACUAGGAAUGUGGAGGAAUAAUUCUUUUAAAAACAAUGGUCCUUGGUGCCAAAAUGAGACCUUUAAACAUCUAAACUUUUGAACAUGUUCUCUCAUGGCGGGGAAAGGGGCCCUGUGACUUCAUCUUUCAGCACUGAGAAACACAGGUGGCCUUAGAACUCCUUAAUUUAAAAAAAAAAUAGUCUAAAAGAUCCUAGUCCGGAGGCUGUGACCCCUCCCCCUUCCAUUUCUCCUUGCUGUUCCGAAGAGACUCUAUACAUACCUAUACAUUGAGAGGAAAAAGUUGGGGAAGAUAGCAACUUUAAAAACCUAUUUUAAAGAUUGAAUAUUGGAAUAUAUCCCAGCAUGAUAAGUUCUUCUUCACGUGAUUGGAUUUCAAAUGAUUGUAUAUUCCUCAAAGGGAACAGAGGCAAGGAGCCAUUUCCAACAUCUUGGCAGCUAGCCUUUCAUAAUGACCUACCCAAUGCAGUUGUUGGUAGAUAUGCAGUAUUUUGUUGUUCACAUGUGGAAUUAGAAAUUUUUGAUGUGUACUUUCAUUUUUUUUUCAAAAUAAUGGGGUCUUUGACAUUUCAGAUCACUCCAUUUCUACUCCAGAAACUUUGGAAUCACAUACUACUUUUCAUGUGAAAUUUUGUUUGGUAAAACCGAAUGUAGGGUUUUUUAACCAAUGGAAUGAUUUAAUUUUGUCCUGUUAAAGUUCAGAUAAAGCUAAUUUGUUACAUCUGCAAAUUUUCAUAUUUUAGCAGUUGCCUGAUAAACUUAAUCAAAUUUUAUUACCUUGUGUAGUGAUCAAAUGCUUCUUUGGGCUUGCAUGUUACUGAUUAGAAAUACAGUGUAAAUGAACUGUUAACUGACGUAAAGAACUGCUAUGAAUUUGACCAGAGCUGCACUUAUCUGUUUCUCUUUCUUGCUAUCUUUUGCUGUUUGUUACUUUGUGUUGACUUUGUCCCUGGCAAUUUUUUUCCAGUCUAAAGUAAAAAGAGUCGCAUAAUAUUGUGUAUGUUUAAAAUGACACUGUUCAUUUAGAAAAAAAAAUCUUUAUCACAUGUCCUUUUAAAAAGAUAAAAAUAUCUUGUCAGAGAUAUAUUGAAUAUUUUUAAGCUAAGCAUCCACCAAUAGAAAUAUAACUUAAUGAGUUUAACUUUUGAUGUCCUAACGAGACCUUCUGAGGUCUUCAUUAAAGAGUGGCCACUGUAGUUUUCUAACAGUGGCUACUUAUAGUAUAAUGAAAUAGUUUUUUUUAAUAUGUUUGACGGUUGGAAUAUUUUAAAGGUUUCUUCUCCGAGUUGUGAAAGAAGAAUUCAUGUUUUGUUACUGAACUAAACUAACAGCUGAGACUGUUCUUUAGUCCCUUUCACAUAUUUAAGGUCCUAACACAACAUGAAUUGGAUACUGUCCAUAAAUAUACAUGCUACUUACUGUAAAUUAUUGUUACAUUGCAAAGCCAACUACAUAUAACCCAAUGAGAAGUUGCAUCUCACUCCUAGGAUGAUUCUAUUGAGGGAAAUAAUGUGCAAGAGGUUUAGGUAUUUAUCUCUUCAUUCAUUAAACAGAUUUGUUUACAAAUCUCUUUUCAGACAGGUUGAAUUGUCUGAAUAAAUCACAAUUGGAUGGGUUCACACAUGCUAAAACACAAAACAAACCAUACAAUGGUUUAAGCCUUAAUGCAAUGAUAUGAACCCAAUGGCUAGCAUAUUCAAAUGAUAUUAAGUCAUUUUACCUGGUGAACCUGAUUAUUACUACCUUGUCUCCUUUAUCCAAAUUAUUUCCAUUUAAGCUCAAUUUAGAAUAUAUAGCCAAUAUAAUUUGUUCUAGAAAAGCCUAGUAUAAACGUAAAGAGCUGGCACAUGUUAUUGUGUGAAUUAUUUUGGAUCAGGCAGAAUGGCUUGACUGUUUGAACAUUGUUUGUCUUAAAGCAUCCUGAAGUUGGUCUGGCUCUUAAGGAGUCUGAGGUCACAUAAGCAUUCAUGAAUAGCUUCUAUGCUUUAUAUAUUUGGCAAAAAAAUUAUUUAAAUUGGAUGUAGAAAUUUUAGCAAAAAUGUAGAAAUAAGAGGCAAUUUGAGAAUUUAAAUCAUGUAUUCUUAGUGUGACAUAAAAACCUAGCAAACAGAUUAUACUAUAAUUACAUUGAAUUAUUUUAAUAUUUGAUAUGAGUAAAUCAAUGCUUGUUUUCAUGGUUUAAAUUUAGAUAAUUGAAUAAUGGCCCUGUCAUCUGAAUAGCAGUAUUUAAUGUUUAAAAGCCCUCUCCCAUCAAUAUGAAUUCUGGAAUGUAAACAAUUCCAAAUACAAUGAAAAGUAAUAACAGUAGUGGUUUAGCCUUGGGCCUCUAAACAGAGAAGCAAGAGUGGCUGCAGGAAGAAAUUAUUGCAGGUUUCUUUGUAUUGCAGUCCCUGGAAGGCGGGGUAAACUGUGGAGACCCAAGAUUGGGAAAUGCUCAUUCUCGGCUCCUAUGGAAUAGCUUUGAUCCUGCAUAGGUCACCCCCCCCCUUUUUUUUAAAAAGGGCUGUAGCCAACAGUGUCUUAGCAUGUCAUGAAUACCCUAUUUAUAAAUAGAGUUUAUUUACAAACCAGUACUGAAAGCAGUGUGAAUGGAAAUUAGUAACUUGAAGUUGAACUUCAGACAGCUUUCAGUGCAGCACAUUAACACUCAUUUACCUCAACAGUUUUUCCCUUUGAAAUCGGAAAAUCCAAGUUCAUCAACAUAUUACUUUGAUUGUAAACAUCAUUUCCCUUCAAGUUGAAGGGCAGUAUGAGCAGACUAUUAUAGUACUUUCAAGAUGAAUUUGUAAAUUCAUAAAAUAAAAUCCCCAUGUGUAAAAUG